rnacentral:rRNA from 1 species
UACGGAGGAUGCAAGCGUUAUCCGGAAUCAUUGGGCGUAAAGCGUCCGUAGGUGGCGUUUCAAGUCUGCGGUCAAAGCACAAGGCUUAACCUUGUAAAGGCCGUGGAAACUGAAAAAGCUAGAGUGCGGUAGGGGUAGAGGGAAUUCCGGGUGUAGCGGUGAAAUGCGUAGAUAUCCGGAGGAACACCGGUGGCGAAGGCGGCUUCCUGGACCGACACUGACGCUGAGGCGCGAAAGCUAGGGGAGCAAACGGG